rnacentral:rRNA from 1 species
AGGAUGAACGCUAGCGGCAGGCUUAAUACAUGCAAGUCGUGGGGCAGCAUGGUGUAGCAAUACACUGAUGGCGACCGGCAAACGGGUGCGGAACACGUACGCAACCUUCCUUUAACUGGAGAAUAGCCCGGGGAAACCCGGAUUAAUACUCCGUAACAUUAUGAAGUGGCAUCACUUUAUAAUUAUAGCUCCGGCGGUUGAAGAUGGGCGUGCGUCUGAUUAGGUAGUUGGCGGGGUAACGGCCCACCAAGCCUACGAUCAGUAACUGGUGUGAGAGCACGACCAGUCACACGGGCACUGAGACACGGGCCCGACUCCUACGGGAGGCAGCAGUAAGGAAUAUUGGCCAAUGGACGCAAGUCUGAACCAGCCAUGCCGCGUGGAGGAUGAAGGUCCUCUGGAUUGUAAACUUCUUUUAUUUGGGAAGAAACCCCCGAUUUCUAUUGGGGUUGACGGUACCAGAUGAAUAAGCACCGGCUAACUCCGUGCCAGCAGCCGCGGUAAUACGGAGGGUGCAAGCGUUAUCCGGAUUCACUGGGUUUAAAGGGUGCGUAGGCGGGUUGGUAAGUCCGUGGUGAAAUCUCCAAGCUUAACUUGGAAACUGCCGUGGAUACUAUCAAUCUUGAAUAUCGUGGAGGUGAGCGGAAUAUGUCAUGUAGCGGUGAAAUGCUUAGAUAUGACAUAGAACACCCAUUGCGAAGGCAGCUCGCUACACGGUUAUUGACGCUGAGGCACGAAAGCGUGGGGAUCAAACAGGAUUAGAUACCCUGGUAGUCCACGCCCUAAACGAUGAUUACUCGACAUCAGCGAUACACUGUUGGUGUCUGAGCGAAAGCAUUAAGUAAUCCACCUGGGAAGUACGACCGCAAGGUUGAA